rnacentral:rRNA from 2 species
GAUCCAGACUUUGAUUAUGGCUCAGGAUGAACGCUGGCGGCGUGCCUAAUACGUGCAAGUCGAACGAAACUUCUUUAUCACCGAGUGCUUGCACUCACCGAUAAAGAGUUGAGUGGCGAACGGGUGAGUAACACGUGGGCAACCUGCCCGAAAGAGGGGGAUAACACUUGGAAACAGGUGCUAAUACCGCAUAACCAUGAAUACCGCAUGAUAUUUAUGUGAAAGGUGGUUUCGGCUACCGCUUUCGGAUGGGCCCGCGGCGCAUUAGCUAGUUGGUGGGGUAAAGGCUUACCAAGGCAAUGAUGCGUAGCCGAACUGAGAGGUUGAUCGGCCACAUUGGGACUGAGACACGGCCCAAACUCCUACGGGAGGCAGCAGUAGGGAAUCUUCCACAAUGGGCGAAAGCCUGAUGGAGCAACGCCGCGUGGGUGAAGAAGGUCUUCGGAUCGUAAGACCCUGUUGUCAGAGAAGAAAGUGCAUGAGAGUAACUGUUCAUGUUUCGACGGUAUCUGACCAGAAAGCCACGGCUAACUACGUGCCAGCAGCCGCGGUAAUACGUAGGUGGCAAGCGUUAUCCGGACUUAUUGGGCGUAAAGGGAACGCAGGCGGUCUUUUAAGUCUGAUGUGAAAGCCUUCGGCUUAACCGGAGUAGUGCAUUGGAAACUGGGAGACUUGAGUGCAGAAGAGGAGAGUGGGACUCCAUGUGUAGCGGUGAAAUGCGUAGAUAUAUGGAAGAACACCAGUGGCGAAAGCGGCUCUCUGGUCUGUAACUGACGCUGAGGUUCGAAAGCGUGGGUAGCAAACAGGAUUAGAUACCCUGGUAGUCCACGCCGUAAACGAUGAAUGCUAAGUGUUGGAGGGUUUCCGCCCUUCAGUGCUGCAGUUAACACAAUAAGCAUUCCGCCUGGGGAGUACGACCGCAAGGUUGCAACUCAAAUGAAUUGACGGA